rnacentral:rRNA from 1 species
AGAGUUUGAUCAUGGCUCAGGAUUAACGUUGGCUGUGUGCCUAAGGUAUGCAAGUCGAACGGUGCGCUAACUUAUAGUCGCUUGCGAUUAUAAGUUGGCAGUCACAGUGGCAAACGGGUGAGUAACACGUGGGUAAUCUGCCUUAAAGUCGGAAACAGCUCUCCGAAAGGAGGGGUAAUAUUCGAUGGUCCGAGUUUCUCGUAAAGAGAUAUUCGGUAAAGCUCCGGCGCUUUAAGAGGAGCCCGCGUCCUAUCAGCUUGUUGGUGAGGUAAAAGCCCACCAAGGCUAAGACGGGUAAUUGGCGUGAGAGCGCGAUCAGUCACCAUGGAACUGAGACACGGUCCAUACUCCUACGGGAGGCAGCAACUAGGAAUUUUGCGCAAUGGGGGCAACCCUGACGCAGCGACACAGCGUGGAGGAGGAAGGUCUUCGGAUUGUAAACUCCUUUUAUAUGGGAAGAAUAGAUGACUGUACCAUAUGAAUAAGCACCUGCUAACUACGUGCCAGAAGCAUCGGUGAUGCGUAGGGUGCGAACGUUAUCCGGAUUUAUUAGGCGUAAAGAGAUGCGUAGGCGUUUCAGUUAGUCUUUCGUUAAAGAUCACGGCUCAACCGUGAGAAAGCGUUGGAUACUGCUGAAAUUGAGACAUGAAGGGGUGAACGGAAUUCCAAAUGGAGCGGUGAAAUGCGUUGAUAUUUGGAGGAACAUCAGUGGCGAAGGCGGUUCACUGGUCAUUGUCUGACGCUAAGGCUCGAAAGCGUGGGUAGCAAAACGGAUUAGAUACCCGUGUAGUCCACGCCGUAAACUAUGAAUGCUAGGUGUUUGAUACAACUUUCUUAAAUCUUCGGAUUUUUAAAAGAAGUAUUAAGUGCCGCAGUUAACACGGUAAGCAUUCCGCCUGGGAAGUACGGCCGCAAGGCUAAAACUCAAAGGAAUUGACGG